CGCAGAAGAAGCACCGGCUAACUCCGUGCCAGCAGCCGCGGUAAUACGGAGGAUGCAAGCGUUAUCCGGAAUCAUUGGGCGUAAAGCGUCCGCAGGUGGCGAAUCAAGUCUGCUGUUAAAGACAGAAGCUCAACUUCUGAACAGCAGUGGAAACUGGUUUGCUAGAGUAUGGUAGGGGUUGAGGGAAUUCCCAGUGUAGCGGUGAAAUGCGUAGAUAUUGGGAAGAACACCAGUGGCGAAGGCGCUCAACUGGGCCAUAACUGACACUCAGGGACGAAAGCUAGGGUAGCGAAAGGGAUUAGAUACCCCUGUAGUCCUAGCUGUAAACGAUGAACACUAGGCGUUGCUUGUAUCGACCCGAGCAGUGCCGUAGCCAACGCGUUAAGUGUUCCGCCUGGGGAGUACGCACGCAAGUGUGAAACUCAAAGGAAUUGACGGGGGCCCGCACAAGCGGUGGAGCAUGUGGUUUAAUUCGAUGCAACGCGAAGAACCUUACCAGGACUUGACAUCUCGAGAAUCCUCUCUAAUAGGAGGAGUGCCUUCGGGAACUCGAAGACAGGUGGUGCAUGGCUGUCGUCAGCUCGUGUCGUGAGAUGUUGGGUUAAGUCCCGCAACGAGCGCAACCCUCGUUCUUAGUUGCCAUCAUUAAGUUGGGCACUUUAGGAAGACUGCCGGUGACAAACCGGAGGAAGGUGGGGAUGACGUCAAGUCAUCAUGGCCC
rnacentral:rRNA from 1 species